rnacentral:rRNA from 1 species
GACGAACGCUGGCGGCGUGCCUAAUACAUGCAAGUUGAGCGAUGAAGAUUGGUGCUUGCACCAAUUUGAAGAGCAGCGAACGGGUGAGUAACGCGUGGGGAAUCUGCCUUUGAGCGGGGGACAACAUUUGGAAACGAAUGCUAAUACCGCAUAAUAACUUUAAACAUAAGUUUUAAGUUUGAAAGAUGCAAUUGCAUCACUCAAAGAUGAUCCCGCGUUGUAUUAGCUAGUUGGUGAGGUAAAGGCUCACCAAGGCGAUGAUACAUAGCCGACCUGAGAGGGUGAUCGGCCACAUUGGGAAUGAGACACGGCCCAAACUCCUACGGGAGGCAGCAGUAGGGAAUCUUCGGCAAUGGACGAAAGUCUGACCGAGCAACGCCGCGUGAGUGAAGAAGGUUUUCGGAUCGUAAAACUCUGUUGGUAGAGAAGAAAGUUGGUGAGAGUGGAAAGCUCAUCAAGUGACGGUAACUACACAGAAAGGGACGGCUAACUACGUG